AUUGAACGCUGGCGGCAUGCUUUACACAUGCAAGUCGAACGGUAACAGGGAGCUUGCUCCGCUGACGAGUGGCGAACGGGUGAGUAAUGCGUCGGAACGUGCCGAGUAGUGGGGGAUAACGCAUCGAAAGGUGUGCUAAUACCGCAUACGUACUGAGGUAGAAAGUGGGGGACCUUCGGGCCUCACGCUAUUCGAGCGGCCGACGUCUGAUUAGCUAGUUGGUGAGGUAAAGGCUCACCAAGGCGACGAUCAGUAGCGGGUCUGAAAGGAUGAUCCGCCACACUGGGACUGGGACACGGCCCAGACUCCUACGGGAGGCAGCAGUGGGGAAUUUUGGACAAUGGGCGCAAGCCUGAUCCAGCCAUGCCGCGUGUCUGAAGAAGGCCUUCGGGUUGUAAAGGACUUUUGUCCGGGAGCAAAUGCCUGGUGUUAAUAGCACUGGGAGCUGAGAGUACCGGAAGAAUAAGCACCGGCUAACUACGUGCCAGCAGCCGCGGUAAGAC
rnacentral:rRNA from 1 species